UACGUAGGGGGCAAGCGUUAUCCGGAUUUACUGGGGUGUAAAGGGAGCGCAGACGGAACUGCAAGUCUGAUGUGAAAGCCCGGGGCUCAACCGCGGGACUGCAUUGGAAACUGUAGAUCUGGAGUGCCGGAGGGGCAAGCGGAAUUCCUGGUGUAGCGGUGAAAUGCGUAGAUAUCAGGAGGAACACCGGCGGCGAAGGCGGCUUGCUGGACGGCAACUGACGUUGAGGCUCGAAAGCGUGGGGAGCAAACAGGAUUAGAUACCCCUGUAGU
rnacentral:rRNA from 1 species